CGUGUAGGCGGUUGGCUCAGUCUGAUGUGAAAGCCCGGGGCUCAACCCCGGAAGUGCAUUGGAUACUAGUUAACUAGAGGACGAGAGAGGAAGGCGGAAUUCCUGGUGUAGGGGUGAAAUCCGUAGAUAUCAGGAGGAACAUCGGUGGCGAAGGCGGCCUUCUGGCUCGUUUCUGACGCUGAGACGCGAAAGCGUGGGGAGCGAACAGGAUUAGAUACCCUGGUAGUCC
rnacentral:rRNA from 1 species